GGGGCUGACUUGGAUUUCGACAGAUUUCUUGUCGCACAGAUAGCAUGCCAAGUGCUACUUGUAAAACAGCAACAAAAAUAACUGUAAACAACACAGAUUACGCUCCAGCUUACGCUAAAGCUGCGUGAGUUAAUCUCCUUUUGGAGCUGGAUUGAUUAGAAUUUCUAGCGUUUUAAUCACUCCAUAACCUUAAGCUAGACGCUUUUAAAAGGUGGUUCGCCUUUUAAACUAAGAAACAAGAACUCUUGAAACUAUCUCAAGGUUUUAGAAAGUUGGACCAGAGCUAGUUUUAAGGCUAAAAAACCAACCAAUUUUCUAAGCAUUGUAGAAGUUUGUGUUUAGGGCAAGAUUUUUGGACUGGGGUUCGAUUCCCCACAGCUCCACCA
rnacentral:tmRNA from 1 species